rnacentral:rRNA from 1 species
GGCGAACGCUGGCGGCGUGCCUAAUACAUGCAAGUAGAACGCUGAAGGAGGAGCUUGCUUCUCUGGAUGAGUUGCGAACGGGUGAGUAACGCGUAGGUAACCUGCCUGGUAGCGGGGGAUAACUAUUGGAAACGAUAGCUAAUACCGCAUAAUAUUGACUAUUGCAUGAUAGUCAGUUGAAAGGUGCAACUGCACCACUACCAGAUGGACCUGCGUUGUAUUAGCUAGUUGGUGGGGUAACGGCUCACCAAGGCGACGAUACAUAGCCGACCUGAGAGGGUGAUCGGCCACACUGGGACUGAGACACGGCCCAGACUCCUACGGGAGGCAGCAGUAGGGAAUCUUCGGCAAUGGACGGAAGUCUGACCGAGCAACGCCGCGUGAGUGAAGAAGGUUUUCGGAUCGUAAAGCUCUGUUGUAAGAGAAGAACGAGUGUGAGAGUGGAAAGCUCACACUGUGACGGUAUCUUACCAGAAAGGGACGGCUAACUACGUG